UACGGAGGGUGCAAGCGUUGUUCGGGCUCAUUGGGCGUAAAGCGCGUGUCGGCGGCCUGGUAAGUCGGGUGUGAAAUCCCGGGGCUCAACCCCGGAACUGCACUCGAAACUACCUCGCUAGAGUCUCGGAGAGGAAGGCGGAAUUCCCGGUGUAGAGGUGAAAUUCGUAGAUAUCGGGAGGAACACCAGCGGCGAAGGCGGCCUUCUGGACGGUGACUGACGCUGAGACGCGAAAGCGUGGGGAGCAAACAGG
rnacentral:rRNA from 1 species